rnacentral:rRNA from 1 species
UACGUAGGGUGCAAGCGUUAAUCGGAAUUACUGGGCGUAAAGCGUGCGCAGGCGGUUAUGUAAGUCAGAUGUGAAAUCCCCGGGCUUAACCUGGGAAUGGCAUUUGUGACUGCACGGCUAGAGUGUGUCAGAGGGGGGUAGAAUUCCACGUGUAGCAGUGAAAUGCGUAGAGAUGUGGAGGAAUACCGAUGGCGAAGGCAGCCCCCUGGGCCAAUACUGACGCUCAUGCACGAAAGCGUGGGGAGCAAACAGG